rnacentral:rRNA from 1 species
AGCUCCAAGAGCGUAUAUUAAAGUUGUUGCAGUUAAAAAGCUCGUAGUUGGAUUUCUGCUGAGGACGACCGGUCCGCCAUCUGGGAGAGUAUCUGGCUUGGCCUUGGCAUCUUCUUGGAGAACGUAGCUGCACCUGACUGUGUGGUGCGGUAUCCAGGACUUUUACUUUGAGGAAAUUAGAGUGUUUCAAGCAAGCACACGCCUUGAAUACAUUAGCAUGGAAUAAUAAGAUAGGACCUUGGUUCUAUUUUGCUGGUUUCUAGAGCUGAGGUAAUGAUUAAUAGGGAUAGUUGGGGGCAUUCGUAUUUAACUGUCAAAGGUGAAAUUCUUGGAUUUGUUAAAGACGGACUACUGCGAAAGCAUUUGCCAAGGAUGUUUUCAUUG